AAAGUAGAUGUUAAUAGAUUUUUUAAAGUAUAUUAAAGUACUUUAAAAACCUUAAGUUCAUGUUUUUUUACUUCUUGUGUAUUACUUUAUCUUUGUUUAAUGUUUACAUAGUUAUACAAACAUUCCUAGUGUUAGCUUGUCUUUUUAAAAGUAUUUUAAAAUGUUUUGUGUAAUCAUACAAUUUUUUUGUUAUCUUUAGUCCAAUCUACACAGCCUACCACUGCUGCAUCUUCAUCUGGAACAAGUGUUCCAUCUACAUCGGCUACAACUGGUAUGUUGACAAAAUAUUUUUUUCAAAAUUUUUAUGCAUUUUUCAACAAUUGCAAUAUUUAUUUCUUAUUAAAACUUUUUUAACCUUUAGUUGUAUCUGCAGCUGCUACAAACAAUAAGUUUAAAAGCUAUUAUUUUCAAAUAUGUCUAUGCAUAAUGCAUUUGUAAAACUAUUAUUUCUAUUAUGUGUAUGUCUUUCUUAAAAAAAUGCAAGUAAAAUUAAAUUUUAUUACAAAUUUUUUUUACUUUAAGUUUCACAACCUUCUGCUGGUAAAUUUAUGAUAUAGAAAUGUUUCCGAAUAAUUAUUGAACUCGUAAUAUUUUUAUUUAUAUACACUUUUUAAUACAUUUGUAUUAUGUUAUCCCUAAAAGUGCCAUAGAAGGAGAAUCAAUAGCAGUAUAUAAAUUUUCAUCGUAUUAACAUUAACAUUAUUAACAUCGUAUUAACAUUAUUAACAUCUUAUUAACAUCGUAUUAACAUUAACAUCGUAUUAACAUAUUUGUGAAACUAUCAUUGUUUUAUAAAUUGUUUAUUUAAUUUAUUCAGACAAUUACUUUUACAGGUAUUUGGUUUAUAUAAAAUUUUACAUAACGCCAUUAGUAUUAAUCUUUCAGUACUUAAACAGGGUGGCCACUGGUCAUGGAAAUCAUGGAAUUUUAUUUGGUCAUAGAGUUUUCAUUAAAAAUCAUGGAAAAAUCAUGGAACUUUUUAAAAUGAUCUUAAUUUUUUUUUUACUUGUGAUAUUUUUAGGAUGCAAGGAAAAGUACAAUUAUGUCUAGUCCUUUUUGAAAAAGAUAUUUUUGCAGUGUUUGUUAUCAGAAAAGUAAAAGAAAAAGAUUUUUUUUCAGACAUGAUUCCAGAACUUUCUAAUAAUUAUUUUUUGGUUUGCAUGUUUUAUAAUGACCAAGUUGCAAAUGCUUAGUGCAUGGUUGGAGUGGGUAAUUCAUCCUUUUACAUGACAAAAUUGAUACACAGACGCAUCUUGUAAUGGGCGGAAGGGGGCGGCAUACGCCCUCUUUCAUAAAAGCAAUUUAUACACCAAUAGUUAAUAUUUUUUUAAGUGUUGAAAUAUAUUUUUUAUUUUUUGUAAUAAAUUUAAUCAUUUUAGUAAA